GAUGAACGCUGGCGGCGCGCCUAACACAUGCAAGUCGAACGAUUAAAGCACCUUCGGGUGUGUAUAAAGUGGCGAACGGCUGAGUAACACGUGGGCAACCUGCCCCUCUCAUUGGGAUAGCCACGGGAAACCGUGGAUAAUACCGAAUACUUCGGGACUUCCGCAUGGAAGACUCGAGAAAGCUCCGGCGGAGAGGGAUGGGCCCGCGGCCUGUUAGCUUGUUGGUGGGGUAAUGGCCUGCCAAGGCAAUGAUGGGUAGCUGGGUUGAGAGACCGACCAGCCAGAUUGGGACUGAGACACGGCCCAGACUCCUACGGGAGGCAGCAGUGGGGAAUCUUGCACAAUGGGCGAAAGCCUGAUGCAGCGACGCCGCGUGCGGGAUGAAGGCCUUCGGGUUGUAAACCGCUUUCAGCAGGGACGAGGCGAAAGUGACGGUACCUGCAGAAGAAGCCCCGGCUAACUACGUG
rnacentral:rRNA from 1 species